AUUGAACGCUGGCGGCAUGCCUUACACAUGCAAGUCGAACGGUAACAGAUCUUCGGAUGCUGACGAGUGGCGAACGGGUGAGUAAUACAUCGGAAAGAGCCUAGUAGUGGGGGAUAACUACUCGAAAGAGUGGCUAAUACCGCAUGAGAUCUACGGAUGAAAGCAGGGGAUCGCAAGACCUUGUGCUACUAGAGCGGCCGAUGGCAGAUUAGGGAGUUGGUGGGAUAAAAGCUUACCAAGCCGACGAUCUGUAGCUGGUCUGAGAGGACGAUCAGCCACACUGGGACUGAGACACGGCCCAGUCUCCUACGGGAGGCAGCAGUGGGGAAUUUUGGACAAUGGGCGCAAGCCUGAUCCAGCAAUGCCGCGUGCAGGAUGAAGGCCUUCGGGUUGUAAACUGCUUUUGUACGGAACGAAAAGCCCUGGGUUAAUACCCUGGGUCAUGACGGUACCGUAAGAAUAAGCACCGGCUAACUACGUGCCAGCAGCCGCCGCCGUAA
rnacentral:rRNA from 1 species